UAGAGGAGCAAAUGAAAUAAUAUAUAUGACAUGGCUGGUAGGCCAUAAUCCACUCUACAAAUAUAAGUGAAACAAACAGCAUUUUCAUCAGGUUCAAGUGGUAACGGCCGCUGCUUAUCUGGUCUGCCCACUCUGAGUAUCAGUUUUUUGAAUAAAGUGGUCAGUUUGGAGAUACUGCAUCCAGAUGCACCUGUAUGUUAUCUAGAGAUAGUUGUUAGCCCAGACCUAUAUUGCCAACUAAAAGAUUAAUUUAGAAGAACAUUCAUCUUAUAAGAUGAGAACUAUACAUUUAGCUUUUACAUAAAUAUAAGUAAAAAACAAUAAAUAAUAUGCAGUAUUUCUGAUAUUUUACCUCUAGGCUUGCUUACUACGGAACUGAUGACAUGGUUAGGCAAAUGCAGUUAAUGAUUAGCAUUAAUGUUUAAGAGCUUAGACUUUGGAGUCAGAGAAACAUGGGUUCAAUUUUCUCAGCUCUACCUUUAUCACCAAUGAGGCCUUGGGCAAGUUACUUAAAUUCUCUAAGAUUCUUUUCUACAUCUUUAAAAUGUAUCUACCCCUCAGACUGUCGUAAGGAUGAAAACAAAUAAUUUCCUUGACCAAAUGCUGAGAAAAUUGUGAUGUGAAAUAAUAAGGAAGUCAAGACACUGUUUUUGGAAGAACUGAAAGCCGCCUUGGUGUUGGGAGCCCAUCCUGCCAUCCCCAGCGUGCUGAAUGAAAUGGCAGCUGAAAAGGACUUGGUGGACAGAUGGAUGGAAGGAGGAAGGAAGCCAGCACCUUUCUUGAUGAAGCUGCUGUUCUGCACGAGAAUCUCUCAUUUGAUUUGACCAAGUUAGGGAAGUAAUCCAGAUUUAAAUAAAAUUACUGUGUAAAAGUUAA